AAUGAACGCUGGCGGCGUGCUUAACACAUGCAAGUCGAGCGAGAAAGUUCCUUCGGGAGCGAGUACAGCGGCGAACGGGUUAGUAAUGCGUGAGAAUCUACCCUCUAGUGAGGAAUACCUCCGAGAAAUCGGAGAUAAUACCGCAUGUGUCCUUUAAUAGAGAUAUUUUAGGAUAAAGGUGGCCUCUUUGCUAUCGCUAGGGGAUGAGCUUGCGUGCUAUCAGCUAGUUGGUAGGGUAAUGGCCUACCAAGGCUAUGACGGCUAGCCGGCCUGAGAG
rnacentral:rRNA from 1 species